rnacentral:lncRNA from 1 species
CGCAUAUUCCGCUGCAAUUUAGGUUGUUGUUCGUGAAUCAGCUCAUGUUUAGUUUGAAAUGAGCUCGAGAUUGAAUUGCUUGUUUAGUAAAUGAGCCAAACACGAGCUGGGAUCAAAUCGCUCAUAUUCGGCUCGAUAACAUCUUGAAUACAUAUAUUUUAGAUUUAUAUAUAAAUAAAUAAUUAUAUAUAUAAUAUAAAUUUUUAUUAUUUGAUUUUUAGUCCAAUCUAAAUGUAAUGUCCAACUAAAUUAUAAGAUAGUUCAUUUACAUAUAAAAUUUCAACAUUAGAUCAAAAUAUAAUAGGAAGAUUUUAUAAAUUUAUUUCAUAUAUAUAUACUAAUACUUUUAAAUUCUUUUUCAUAAGCCGGCCGCUCGUUAAUAAACGAGCCAAAUUUUUUGGCUCAAUAUUUUAACGAGACAGCUUGUGUUCGGAUCGUUUAUGAAACGAGCCGAGCAUGAGCUAGCUGACUCCAGCUCGCUUGUACAUGUUUGAAUCGUUGACAACCCUAAUUGGAUUAGGGGCUUGUAAUGCGUAUAAACGUUUAUGCCGAUUCGACAAGAUGAUAAAACUAUUCUCUUAUUUUAAUCUAUUUUUAUAUUUUUAAUUAUUAUUUAUUUAUUAUGAAGGUUGAAGUAACUCGCAGUAAAAGAGAAUUUCAUCAAGAAAUCAAUAAAUAAAAUGCCGUAGACAGAAGAGAACUCAGAGCAUGACAUGGUAAACAAAUGGGAGCUCACUUUUACGUACGUGACGAAUAAAAUGUACGCAUGAUUCUUGGUUUUCCGCAUAAUUCACUAGUAAAUAAAAGUGAAGUGACCACUGGUUGCAAAUACAUGAUUCACAGUCUACGGUCAAAUUUUAUUAGGACAUGGUCUGUAGUCAAACCGGCCCGCAUAAAAAAUUUUAGCAAUCUAUAUAUUGUAUAUAUUUUUCUAAAAUUUCGGAGUUGAACUUGUAAUUUCAAAAAAAGUAAACAGCAUUAGUAUUUAUUCAAUAUGAAAAUUAUGAGUUCAUUCAAAUUCUCACUCGUAAUUAUAUGAAAAUUAGUCUUUCAACUUGAGUAGAAUAGGUGAUAAAAUUAAAUUUAUAAAACUCACAAAUUUUUCACUCUCAUUUUCAAACCAACUCUUAAAUUUGAUGCAAAUUCAAAUAAAGUGCACACAAACAAACUAAAGAUAAAAAUAUUGGAUUAUUCACUUUAUUUAUUUUGGAGUUUAAAAACUCGCCUAUUUUUAAUGCUAGCGACUAAUUAUUAUUUUGAAAUAAUAAAUGAUUAAAAUUAAGAGUUUAAAUUACUAGUUUAUUAAAAUGUCCUUUACUUGAGCUAGACUCAUAUGAGAGCCAAAUAGACUAGACACACACACACACACGCACACACGCACACACGCACACGCACAAAAAAAAAAAAAAAAAAAAAAAAAAAAAAAAAAACCCAAACAGGUACCCAAGCAUCAGCAUUACGUCGGCUGCCACUAGGAAACCCAUCUACGUGGACCACUGCUAGCAUUCCACGUACAUGCAUCAUGUGGGCCCACGUGGGGAAACCAUCCCAUGGACCUGGUCCACUACGUCACUCAUCGACUAGCGAUUUACGUACCUUUCAUGCUUUCUAUACUUUUGAUUCUCAUAAACAAAUAAUCCAAUCCCAAAAUUAAAAUUAUAUUUAAAAUGAAUGCUUAGUUUUGCACAUCCCUUCGCCUAGAAAUUAUUCACACACGUGCUUUUAAUGUAGACUAUUUAAACAGCACUUUCGUUCCCUUUGAUUAUCACCAUCUAAUAAAUUUUAAUUAUUUUGGCCUUUACAAAUUAUUAUUAUUAUUAUUAUUAUGGGAGGGAGAAAAAUUGGAUGGAUAAAGUCCAUGCGUGGACCAGGUCCUGGGAAAAUAAUUUUUGAAUAGUGAAGUUUCAAAUUCAAGGUGCGUUCACGUUGGAUUAAUGGCGACAAAAGCUACCCUAUUGACUAGUCAAACCUGGGAAUAGUUAACAUGAUGGGUACGUAAAUGGACCACAGUUUAGAGGAGAGUUAGGUAACCUCUUGAUUGGGAGAUGAAUGAAUGAAUGGUCCAAUCAAAUGAACCCAACGCCAUUUUUUUUGGUACAAUAUAAUAGGAGGACGAGUGAGAAGGUACCGAGCAAAUCAUUGCUUGGAACUGGUCCACCAGUACCACCACGCAUCCCGUGAACUUCACAAGUUAAUUGUUUAUAUAUAUAUAUAUAUAUAUAUAUAUAUAUAUAUAGAGAGAGAGAGAGAGAGAGAGAGAGAGAGAGCAUGGUUGCUGUGCUCUCAGGAGCACGGAGGCUUCCAUGCUCCUGAGCCGUUUUCGAUGAUGAAAUUUUCGAAUCGACAAUCGGCUCCGUUAGACUUGAUCUGGUUCAUUUGAAGUUUCUAAAAAAUAAUUUUUGUAAUUUUUUGAUAUCAUUCACCUAGUGAUCGAAAUGAUUCAAAAUCCAUAAUUUUUAAUGGUUGAUAUCUGCCGUUUUCAAGUUUAACGAUGUAGAAGUAUUCAAAUCAGAUAAAAUUUUAAUACAAAAUUUUUUAUACUAUCUAUAACAAGAUCAAUAUUUCUAAUUUAAAAUUUUAGUGCUAUAUCACCACUUUUUAUAGAAUUUUUAUUUUCAACCGUUAAAAAUUAUUGAUUUUGAAUCAUUUCGAUUGUUAGGUAAAUAAUAUUGAAAAAUCGUAAAAAUUAUUUUCUAGAAACUUCAAUAUGCUAGAUCAAGUUUAACGGAGCCGAUCGUCGAUUCGAAAACUCCAUCAUCGAAAACGGCUCAGGAGCACGGAGGCACGGAGGCCUCCAUGCUCCUGAGUGCACAGCAGUCCUGCUCUCUCUCUCUCUGCGGUUCUCUUCUCUCUUCUCUGUAGUAUAAUAUAUAUAUAUAUAUAUAUAUAUAUAUAUUUGUGAACUAAGAUUCUUAGUGGAGUAUUGCUUCAAAUCACGAGAACAAUAUUCUUGCAUGUUAUUAAUUAAUAUUAAUAUAUCGCUAGAUUUCUAUGAUAUUUUAGAAUGCAUAUGUAAGUUUUUUUUUUUUUUUUAGAGAUAACUAGUACGCUAUCCGUCUCGUUUAUUUCAUUUAGAAAUAAACUUAGCUAGAAAUGUGAAUCAACUAGGAUUCAAACUUGGGUCUCGGGUAUCAACCACCAAACCCUUUGUCACUUUUUCUAGGGACGGUCGGUGAAUGCAUAUAUAAGUUAGUUAAAAUUUUUCAUAUUAUAAAUAGAGGUUCAAAGCAUUUCAUAAUGUUUUGUACUUUUUUUUACACAAAAGGACGAUUGAUAUGUUAUUUUGUGUCGGCUUGAUUUUUAACAAAUUUUAUUAGGUGAAACUGGUCCGCUGUGGUUUGAAUUUAAUAUUUCGUACUAUAAUAUCAUAUAAAAUAAUAAUUAAUUAUUCUUAAUAGCUUUAGUUACUAGAAAAAAGAUAUAAUUUUAUCUCACGGUAUGUUAAAUUUGUUGUUACAUGAAAAAUUACAAGCAAAACAAAUCCACACACUAUUCCUGAAAAUGUCUCUUUUUUUUUUACUACCAAAAGCUAGAAAUAUAAAGAUAGAUUAUUCAAAACCGCAAUCUCUAAUCUAAAAUAAAUAUUAUAAUUUUUUUAUGAACAGCAUAUACAUCAGUAAUAUCCUAAUAAUACAAAAAACAACUAUUGCUCAUCAGAGAAGAAAAUAAUAAAAUAAUAAUUAUUAAAUAACAUGAGAUUCGUCGUGUGGACUGUUUCGGUAUUGCAGAUCAUCGUAUCGAACAAUUCGAUAUUUAAUCUUAAAUCUCACUGAUUGAGUUUCAGGAUACUGGUUCACGGUGGACAGGGUCUAGCCAACAAUUCCUCCAAAAGUUCUCAGGCAUGUGGAUUUUGCACGCAAGAAGAGUUGACGGACAUCAAUCUGAGUUCGACAUGGUUUGCAGAUAGACAUGCAAGGAAUUUUCAAACACAUCAUCAACUAUUAAUGCACGCUGUAGCAUUUAUUAAAGCAUUAAAUGUCAUAACGUAACAUGUAACUAGCAUUGUCCGAGUACUUCAUCUUAAGUUUUCUUCGAUAUUUACAAGGCGCUCAAGCAAGAUUGAUCGUAUAAUAUUGUGUGGCACCAUCUUGAUCAAUAAUGUUGGUGCAACCAACACCUGCAUCGUUCAACUAAUUGUAACGCCCAAACUAAGAGGGGGAGAUAGGAAAAACUGCUAUAAAGGAAGAGCCUUGGAUUAAUAUCUAAAGUCUUAAUAGAUACAUGUUUGCUAGAGAGAGAUGCUAAGGUUAAUUCUGGACUGUUUUCUAGUGGAUUAAUCUUUUUGGUUAAUAUUUUUUUGGGUAAAAUGAUAUAAGAGAUGUUAUGAUU